rnacentral:rRNA from 1 species
UAUUGGGUUUAAAGGGUCCGUAGCCGGCUUAUUAAGUCUCUUGGGAAAUCUGGCGACUUAAUCGUCUGGCGUCCAAGAGAUACUGAUAGGCUUGGGACCGGGAGAGGUGGGAGGUACUCCAGGGGUAGGGGUGAAAUCUCGUAAUCCUUGGGGGACCACCGAUGGCGAAGGCAUCCCACCAGAACGGGUCCGACGGUGAGGGACGAAAGCUGGGGGCACGAACCGGAUUAGAUACCCGGGUAGUCCCAGCUGUAAACGAUGCUCGCUAGGUGUCAGGUGCGGUGCGACCGCAUCUGGUGCCGCAGUGAAAACUUGAAGCGAGUCACCUGGGAAGUACGGUCGCAAGGCUGAAACUUAAAGGAAUUGGCGGGGGAGCACUACAACGGGUGGAGCCUGCGGUUCAAUUGGAUUCAACGCCGGAAAGCUUACCGGGUCAGACAGCAAUAUGAAGGUCAAGCUAAAGACUUUACCUAAUUCGCUGAGAGGAGGUGCAUGGCCGUCGUCAGUUCGUAUCGUGAGACAUCCUGUUAAGUCAGGCAACGAGCAAGACCCGUGCCUACAGUUGCCAGCAUACCCUCCGGGGUGAUGGGCACACUGUGGGGACCGCCGCUGCUAAAGCGGAGGAAGGAGCGGGCUACGGUAAGUCAGUAUGCCCCGAAUCAUCCGGGCUACACGCGGGCUACAAUGGUUGGGACAAUGGGCACCUACACCGAGAGGUGAUGGUAAUCUCCUAAACCCAGCCUUAGUUCGGAUUGAGGGCUGCAACUCGCCCUCAUGAAGCCGGAAUCCGUAGUAAUCGCG